rnacentral:rRNA from 1 species
UCCUACGGGAGGCAGCAGUGGGGAAUAUUGGACAAUGGGCGAAAGCCUGAUCCAGCCAUGCCGCGUGUGUGAAGAAGGUCUUCGGAUUGUAAAGCACUUUAAGUUGGGAGGAAGGGCAGUAAAUUAAUACUCUGCUGUUUUGACGUUACCGACAGA